rnacentral:rRNA from 1 species
AGUGAACGCUGGCGGUAGGCCUAACACAUGCAAGUCGAACGGCAGCACAGUAAGAGCUUGCUCUUACGGGUGGCGAGUGGCGGACGGGUGAGGAAUACAUCGGAAUCUACUUUUUCGUGGGGGAUAACGUAGGGAAACUUACGCUAAUACCGCAUACGACCUACGGGUGAAAGCAGGGGAUCUUCGGACCUUUCGCGAUUGAAUGAGCCGAUGUCGGAUUAGCUAGUUGGCGGGGUAAAGGCCCACCAAGGCGACGAUCCGUAGCUGGUCUGAGAGGAUGAGCAGCCAAACUGGAACUGAGACACGGUCCAGAAUCCUACGGGAGGCAGCAGUGGGGAAUAUUGGACAAUGGGCGCAAGCAUGAUACAGCAAUACCGCGUGGGUGAAGAAGGCCUUCGGGUUGUAAAGCCCUUUUGUUGGGAAAGAAAAGAAGCAGGUUAAUACCCCGCUGUUCUGACGGUACCAAAAGAAUAAGCACCGGCUAACUUCGUG